AUUGAACGCUGGCGGCAGGCUUAACACAUGCAAGUCGAGCGAGCGGCGGACGGGUGAGCAAUGUCUUGGCAACUGCCUGAUGUAGGGGGAUAACUACUGGAAACGGUAGCUAAUACCGCAUACCAUCAGAUGUGCCCAGAUGGGUUUAGCUAGUCGGUGGGGUAACGGCUCACCUAGGCGACGAGCCCUAGCUGGUCUGAGAGGAUGACCAGCCACACUGGGACUGAGACACGGUCCAGACUCCUACGGGAGGCAGCAGUAGGGAAUAUUGCGCAAUGGGCGAAAGCCUGAUGCAGCAAUGCCGCGUGUGUGAAGAAGGCCUUCGGGUUGUAAAGCACUUUCAGCGAGGAAGCGUUACUUAAAGAGGAAGCACCGGCUAACUACGUGCCAGCAGCCGCGGUAAUAC
rnacentral:rRNA from 1 species